GAACCAGCUAAUUAAUCUGCUUAUCUGAAUGUGUUUCUGCAGAAAUUUAGAGACAGCCAGCAAUAACAAUGCCAUUUUAUGAGCCUUAAGGACAAUUGAUGUCAUUAUGUUCCCCAAAUGACUACAAUA